rnacentral:rRNA from 1 species
UACGAAGGGGGCUAGCGUUGCUCGGAAUCACUGGGCGUAAAGGGUGCGUAGGCGGGUUUUAAGUCAGGGGUGAAAUCCUGGAGCUCAACUCCAGAACUGCCUUUGAUACUGAAGAUCUCGAGUCCGGGAGAGGUGAGUGGAACUGCGAGUGUAGAGGUGAAAAUUCGUAGAUAUUCGCAAGAACACCAGUGGCGAAGGCGGCUCACUGGCCCGGUACUGACGCUGAGGCACGAAAGCGUGGGGAGCAAACAGG